rnacentral:rRNA from 1 species
UGGCCUGCACUCUGGGACAAGCCCUGGAAACGGGGUCUAAUACCGGAUACUGAUCCUCGGAGGCAUCUGCGAGGUUCGAAAGCUCCGGCGGUGCAUGAUGAGCCCGCGGCCUAUCAGCUAGUUGGUGAGGUAACGGCUCACCAAGGCGACGACGGGUAGCCGGCCUGAGAGGGCGACCGGCCACACUGGGACUGACACACGGCCCAGACUCCUACGGGAGGCAGCAGUGGGGAAUAUUGCACAAUGGGCGAAAGCCUGAUGCAGCGACCCCGCGUGAGGGAUGACGGCCUUCGGGUUGUAAACCUCUUUCAGCAGGGAAAAAGCGAAAGUGACGGUACCUGCAAAAGAAGCGCCGGCUAACUACGUGCCAGCACCCGCGGUAAUACGUAGGGCGCAAGCGUUGUCCGGAAUUAUUGGGCGUAAAGAGCUCGUAGGCGGCUUGUCACGUCGGUUGUGAAAGCCCGGGGCUUAACCCCGGGUCUGCAGUCGAUACGGGCAGGCUAGAGUUCGGUAGGGAGAUCGGAAUUCCUGGUGUAGCGGUGAAAUGCGCAGAUAUCAGGAGGAACACCGGUGGCGAAGGCGGAUCUCUGGGCCGAUACUGACGCUGAGGAGCGAAAGCGUGGGGAGCGAACAGGAUUAGAUACCCUGGUAGUCCACGCCGUAAACGGUGGGCACUAGGUGUGGGCAACAUUCCACGUUGUCCGUGCCGCAGCUAACGCAUUAAGUGCCCCGCCUGGGGAGUACGGCCGCAAGGCUAAAACUCAAAGGAAUUGACGGGGGCCCGCACCAGCGGCGGAGCAUGUGGCUUAAUUUGACGCAACGCGAAGAACCUUACCAAGGCUUGACAUACACCGGAAAACCCUGGAGACAGGGUCCCCCUUGUGGUCGGUGUACAGGUGGUGCAUGGCUGUCGUCAGCUCGUGUCGUGAGAUGUUGGGUUAAGUCCCGCAACGAGCGCAACCCUUGUCCCGUGUUGCCAGCAGGCCCUUGUGGUGCUGGGGACUCACGGGAGACCGCCGGGGUCAACUCGGAGGAAGGUUGGGACGACGUCAAGUCAUCAUGCCCCUUAUGUCUUGGGCUGCACACGUGCUACAAUGGCCGGUACAAUGAGCUGCGAUACCGCGAGGUGGAGCGAAUCUCAAAAAGCCGGUCUCAGUUCGGAUUGGGGUCUGCAACUCGACCCCAUGAAGUCGGAGUCGCUUGUAAUCGCAGAUCAGCAUUGUUGCGGUGAAUAA